UACGGAGGGGGCAAGCGUUGUUCGGAGUCACUGGGCGUAAAGAGCUCGUAGGCGGCAGUGUAAGUCGGGAGUUAAAGGCAACAGCUUAACUGUUGUAAGGCUUUUGAAACUACAUUGCUAGAGUACCAGAGAGGUAAGCGGAAUUUCCUGUGUAGCGGUGAAAUGCGUAGAUAUAGGAAGGAACACCGGUUGCGAAGGCGGCUUACUGGCUGGUAACUGACGCUGAGGAGCGAAAGCGUGGGUAG
rnacentral:rRNA from 1 species